GCGCCCGUAGCUCAGCUGGAUAGAGUACUUGGCUACGAACUAAGGGGUCGCACGUUCGAAUCGUGCCGGGCGCA
rnacentral:tRNA from 1 species